CUCCGGGCCAUGGAUGUGCAGGAUCCCGAUCGUUAGAAGUUUGCGGAUGGGUUGCCUGGAGAUUUGGUUACAAUCAGGUUCAUUAUUAUUAUUUUUUUUUUCCUCCUGAAACAAGUGAAGGCGAUGGUUACUGCUGUCAAUCUUGGCAAUCAAUGUGAGCGGCCAUGUCGUAAGUAUUCAAAGCAUUUCCCGUCGUGCAACAUCAGAAAGUGAGUGGCCAGGGCAUUGAUCUGAGGAAGGCAAAAGGAGGCAGGGCUCCCCCGCCCAGACAGCACAGGCAAGAUGAGACAACACAGAGAGAGAGAGGGAGAGGGGAAGAGAGAGAGGGGGAGACUGAGAGCGAGCGAGCGAGCGAGCGGGGAAAGCAACAACUGCGGAGAAAGUGAGCACAAAACAGAAAGUGAAAUCACCCCAGGCUGCCAGCCGCAUCCCCGAGAAGCUAUCACCACUCACAUUGCUAUUAGACAAAUGAAACCUUAAACCUCUCUCCUCUAAUGACCACUGAUUGCCCGGAGUGGUGAGGAAAGGCUAAAACCAGCCAGAGAAGCCAGCGCAAGCAGAUGUUGAGGAGGGAUGCUGAACUGCUGUGGGUCCUGGCAGAGGGAAGGGAUCGGAGGCGCUCAGUUCAUGUCGGGGCACUUACCUGUUUACAGCUGUCAUUGCAUUUUGCACCGUCUCUCUCAUUAAAUACUUUAAAGUAAAGCAAUAUUCAACAAGCGAAGCGACCUGUCUGCUUGCUAAGUUUUACAUACCGCAUCUUUAACACGAUGAGCAAACCUACAACUCCUGUAGAGUUGGUGGAACAGUUUCAGAAGUUUUGAUUCAAAGGGCAAGAAAUUCCACCUUAAAAGUCAUUCACCGAGUUCUAAACUCUCCUCUCUCCCCAACUAAUGCCGGACAGUUAACCGGCAUAUUUAUGUUCCCUCUGCUGACACUCUCCAACAGUGAAGACUUUUUAUAGGCUUGUUAAAGAUGUUCAGAGAAACUUUUGCAAAAUAAUCAACAGCAUCUGAGAGAAGGCUAAAGGAAAAGAAGUUAAAGCCUGAUCAUCCGAUUGGGAGAAAGUUUUGUUAGACUAGAUAGAAGCACAUUACUACACGUUUCUUCAUAAGCAAACCCAUCAGCUGAUACGAGUUCCCCUAGAACAAGAACCUCUGGCGAUCUCCUCAAAAUUUAGGGGACGUUUGCAUUCUAUAAAGCCCAAGGCUAAAGAUCUGACUGAAAACAAAACCUCUGAAUUCCUUACAGCGUCAUCUGCCAACACAAUGUAUUGUCCUGGCGGAAAGAGGACCAAGGAGAUUUUAAUUUCAUUUGAAACUGUGCAUCAUCUUGAUAGUGAAGCAAAAAGCCGCAGCAACAAUCUCUCCACUCCACCCCCCCCGUUUCAAAAAAAAAAAAAAAGGGGGGGGGGGUAGAACUGGAAAAACCACAUAAACUUUUACAAAGAAAAUAAAAGCAAGUUUGA